CUUGGUGAAGUGUGGUAAGCUUCAAUUUCUGUCUUGUGUGUAAUCAAUAAUAUCUUAAUCAAGAUACUAGCAGGUAUGUGCAGCGCGAGUGGUAUGUGCCAUCACAUCCUGUCUCAACGCUAUAAAGAGAGAGAAAUGAAGAUGACAGCACUGGAGCCAUUGAACUCUGACAGUUCCUGACCAUUAGACUGGAACAAACAACACCAUGAUCUUCUUGCUUUUCCUCCUCAUCACUGUAGUGGUUACAGCAGCACCUCAUGCAUCUGCAUAAGAUGAACAUAAACUUCAGCAUGUGAUUUUAGAAGAGAUCGUACAAAGGAUGUGAAAGACAGCCUAAAAGCAGAGAUUUUUGUUAAAAAUGUGAUAACAACUGAAGACUGCACUAGUAAGAACUUCUGCAAAGCAGGUGCUGUCCUGUCAAUGUAUAAAGCAGAGGAGCUCGGACUCAAGAAAACAGACUGGCUGCUGCCCUGUAAACUUGUCUCCUACACCAGGGAUAUUCACUGCAAGGAACCAGCAUCAGAAGACCGAGUCACACUCCACCAGCUCCUGGAUAAAAUAUCCCACUGUGCUCAGAAGUCGUACUCAAAGUUUUGAGGUCUUAAGGUUCAGUUAACCUUAAAGUAUUUUAUUGCAAACCAGUACAAAUUAAACUGACAUUUUGCAUAUUGCUCAUGAU